CUGUCAUGUGUGCAUGUAUAAACUCUGUAAACGGAACUUGCAGUCCAGCGUAAUUAUCGAUUUACAAACUAUUUUGUGUGUGUUUAAGCCAGGAAGCGCCUAGAGAAAGGGACACGGAGUUCAUUCCAUGAUUUCUGGGUGAAAUGGAUGCUCUUUUGCAUAGAAAAACUGAGACCAUGGGAAAGGGGGGAGCGAAAUUCAUUAGACGGAAUGUCUACUGUUGAUACUCCUACUCAGAUAAGAGCUGGAGUUUUAGUCAAACUACACUACCCGAGACGAUUAUACCUAAUAAAUGCAGCAAAAGAGUGGACCGAAACACUUUGUGGGCUUAGCUUACCGUCUGUGAAAUAUUAAGUUUUGAAAAAUCAAAAAUGUUGAUUUUUGUGCGGUAUUUUUACGAAAUUUUGUCUUUAAAAACUCAGGAAAAGUCGAAAAGGAAUGAUGUUCAGGUGCAUUAAUUGGGCGUCGUGCAAGGUAUUGCUCAUCAAAAUCUAUUUAGAUUGGCUGAGCUAAAAUUGGUUGACCAACCCUCC